GUUGUAUGGUUAAGUGACUAAGCGUACACGGUGGAUGCCUUGGCAGUCAGAGGCGAUGAAAGACGUAGUAACUUGCGAUAAGCCCAGAUUAGGUAGUAACAACCAUUUGAGUCUGGGAUUUCUGAAUGGGGAAACCCACGUGCAUAAGCACGUAUCCUUACCUGAAUACAUAGGGUAAGGAGGCGAACCGGGGGAACUGAAACAUCUAAGUACCCCGAGGAAAAGAAAUCAACCGAGAUUCCGAAAGUAGCGGCGAGCGAAAUUGGACUAGCCCUUAAGCUUUACACGCGUUAGACGAACGGUCUGGAAAGUCCGACGAUACAGGGUGAUAGUCCCGUAGUUGACGACGUGUGUUCAGUGAAAUCGAGUAGGGCGGGACACGUGAUAUCCUGUCUGAAUAUGGGGGGACCAUCCUCCAAGGCUAAAUACUACUGACUGACCGAUAGUGAACCAGUACCGUGAGGGAAAGGCGAAAAGAACCCCUGUGAGGGGAGUGAAAUAGAACCUGAAACCGUGUACGUACAAGCAGUAGGAGCAGGCUUGUCCUGUGACUGCGUACCUUUUGUAUAAUGGGUCAGCGACUUAUAUUCAGUGGCAAGGUUAACCAUCUAGGGGAGCCGUAGGGAAACCGAGUCUUAACUGGGCGUUCAGUCUCUGGAUAUAGACCCGAAACCAGGUGAUCUAGCCAUGGGCAGGUUGAAGGUUGAGUAACAUCAACUGGAGGACCGAACCGACUAAUGUUGAAAAAUUAGCGGAUGACUUGUGGCUAGGGGUGAAAGGCCAAUCAAACCUGGAGAUAGCUGGUUCUCCCCGAAAGCUAUUUAGGUAGCGCCUCGGACGAAUACUACUGGGGGUAGAGCACUGUUAAGGCUAGGGGGUCAUCCCGACUUACCAACCCUUUGCAAACUCCGAAUACCAGUAAGUACUAUCCGGGAGACACACGGCGGGUGCUAACGUCCGUCGUGGAGAGGGAAACAACCCAGACCGCCAGCUAAGGUCCCAAAUUACUACUAAGUGGGAAACGAUGUGGGAAGGCUCAGACAGCCAGGAUGUUGGCUUAGAAGCAGCCAUCAUUUAAAGAAAGCGUAAUAGCUCACUGGUCGAGUCGGCCUGCGCGGAAGAUGUAACGGGGCUAAGUAGUAAACCGAAGCUGCGGCAAUGUGCUUUUGCACAUUGGGUAGGGGAGCGUUCUGUAAGCGGUUGAAGGUGUGUGGUAACGCAUGCUGGACGUAUCAGAAGUGCGAAUGCUGACAUGAGUAACGAUAAAGGGGGUGAAAAACCUCCUCGCCGGAAGACCAAGGGUUCCUGUCCAACGUUAAUCGGGGCAGGGUAAGUCGACCCCUAAGGCGAGGCCGAAAGGCGUAGUCGAUGGGAAACGGGUUAAUAUUCCCGUACUUCUUACAAUUGCGAUGGGGGGACGGAGAAGGCUAGGUGGGCCUGGCGACGGUUGUCCAGGUUCAAGUGCGUAGGCUUAAGAGUUAGGUAAAUCCGGCUCUUUCUAAGGCUGAGACACGACGUCGAGCACCUACGGGUGUGAAGUCAUUGAUGCCAUGCUUCCAGGAAAAGCCUCUAAGCUUCAGAUUGUAAGGAAUCGUACCCCAAACCGACACAGGUGGUCGGGUAGAGAAUACCAAGGCGCUUGAGAGAACUCGGGUGAAGGAACUAGGCAAAAUGGUACCGUAACUUCGGGAGAAGGUACGCUCUUGAUGGUGAAGUCCCUCGCGGAUGGAGCUGACGAGAGUCGCAGAUACCAGGUGGCUGCAACUGUUUAUUAAAAACACAGCACUGUGCAAAAUCGUAAGAUGACGUAUACGGUGUGACGCCUGCCCGGUGCCGGAAGGUUAAUUGAUGGGGUUAGACUUCGGUCGAAGCUCUUGAUCGAAGCCCCGGUAAACGGCGGCCGUAACUAUAACGGUCCUAAGGUAGCGAAAUUCCUUGUCGGGUAAGUUCCGACCUGCACGAAUGGCGUAAUGAUGGCCACGCUGUCUCCACCCGAGACUCAGUGAAAUUGAAAUCGCUGUGAAGAUGCAGUGUACCCGCGGCUAGACGGAAAGACCCCGUGAACCUUUACUACAGCUUGGCACUGAACAUUGACCCUACAUGUGUAGGAUAGGUGGGAGGCUUUGAAGCACGUACGCCAGUAUGUGUGGAGCCGUCCUUGAAAUACCACCCUUGUAGUGUUGAUGUUCUAACGUCGACCCCUUAUCGGGGUUGCGGACAGUGCCUGGUGGGUAGUUUGACUGGGGCGGUCUCCUCCCAAAGAGUAACGGAGGAGCACGAAGGUGGGCUAAUCACGGUUGGACAUCGUGAGGUUAGUGCAAUGGCAUAAGCCCGCUUGACUGCGAGAAUGACAAUUCGAGCAGGUGCGAAAGCAGGUCAUAGUGAUCCGGUGGUUCUGAAUGGAAGGGCCAUCGCUCAACGGAUAAAAGGUACUCCGGGGAUAACAGGCUGAUACCGCCCAAGAGUUCAUAUCGACGGCGGUGUUUGGCACCUCGAUGUCGGCUCAUCACAUCCUGGGGCUGAAGUCGGUCCCAAGGGUAUGGCUGUUCGCCAUUUAAAGUGGUACGCGAGCUGGGUUUAGAACGUCGUGAGACAGUUCGGUCCCUAUCUGCCGUGGGCGUUGGAAGAUUGAAGGGGGCUGCUCCUAGUACGAGAGGACCGGAGUGGACGAACCUCUGGUGUUCGGGUUGUGUCGCCAGACGCAUUGCCCGGUAGCUAAGUUCGGAAUCGAUAACCGCUGAAAGCAUCUAAGCGGGAAGCGAGCCCUGAGAUGAGUCUUCCCUGAUACUUUAAGUAUCCUAAAGGGUUGUCGGAGACUACGACGUUGAUAGGUCAGGUGUGUAAGUGCUGUGAGGCAUUGAGCUAACUGAUACUAAUUGCCCGUGAGGCUUAACCAUACAACACCCAAGGGGUUU
rnacentral:rRNA from 1 species